rnacentral:rRNA from 1 species
GAUGAACGCUGGCGGUAUGCCUAAUACAUGCAAGUCGAGCGGAAAGGCCCCUUCGGGGGUACUCGAGCGGCGGACGGCAGAGUAACGCGUAGGAACGUACCCCAAACUGAGGGAUAACUGCUCGAAAGAGUAGCUAAUACCGCAUGUGGUCUUCGGACUAAAGCCUUCGGGCGGUUUGGGAACGGCCUGCGUUCGAUUAGCUAGUUGGUGAGGUAAAUGCUCACCAAGGCGACGAUCAGUAGCUGGUCUGAGAGGACGAUCAGCCACACUGGGACGGAGACACGGCCCAGACUCCUACGGGAGGCAGCAGUGGGGAAUUUUGGACAAUGGGCGAAAGCCUGAUCCAGCAAUGCCGCGUGUGUGAAGAAGGCCUUCGGGUUGUAAAGCACUUUUGUCCGGAAAGAAAUGGCUCUGGUUAAUACCUGGGGUCGAUGACGGUACCGGAAGAAUAAGGACCGGCUAACUACGUGCCAGCCGCCGCCGCAG